UACGUAGGGUGCGAGCGUUGUCCGGAAUUAUUGGGCGUAAAGAGCUUGUAGGCGGUUUGUCGCGUCUGCCGUGAAAAUUCGAGGCUCAACCUCGAACUUGCGGUGGGUACGGGCAGACUAGAGUGUGGUAGGGGAGACUGGAAUUCCCGGUGUAGCGGUGAAAUGCGCAGAUAUCAGGAGGAACACCGGUGGCGAAGGCGGGUCUCUGGGCCGAUACUGACACUGAGAGACGAAAGCUAGGGGAGCGAAUGGG
rnacentral:rRNA from 1 species